rnacentral:lncRNA from 1 species
CCGCUUCGAACCGAGCCUCGGAUGUAAACUUCAGUUGAGCUUAAGGACGUUUCCUUUGGUAUUGAGUUACAGGACUGUCAAACAACAAACGGGAAAGCUCAAAGUGAAACGACCUCCAUCACAAUGGGACGUUGAUUCAAGACAUUCGAAGCAAUCCAAAAUCGCAGCAGUAUCACUCCAUUAUACAAUGCUAUUAUAGAUUUUAAAACGAAGAGAAGGAAAAGACUGGGUGUAGUUUAACUGAAUUUCUCUCUGGAAAAAGCAAAACGAAUUCCAAAUUCAAGCUAGAGACCAAAAUGGAAGAGCGUCCAAGGAUCUUUGUUCUCUGUUUUAUGUCCGAUUCUUAUAUUCAAUUCUAUUGAUUUUUAAUCCAAACAAUAAUCUUGAAAAAAUUUAUUUCCAUGUUAAAAUUCAGAAAGACUUUAUCUGGUGAAAUGAUUUUCGGUGUUUUCAAAGUCUUCAGAGCAUAUGUAUUUUAGCGCUGGUUCGAUGAGAAGUGGCGACGAUGGGGCGUGGAGGUCUGGUUGACUGACUGGCGUGGCUGGAUGUCGCUGGUCGACGUGAGGUCUGGUGGGCGGGAGGUUGUCAUUGGGUGGAGGCUCAGUUCGUUUGGAGUCGAAGAGUCGUUUUGAGCUGGUGGCGCAGAAGGGCUAGGGAACGGGAAGAAGAUGAAGAGGUGAACGGGGCUGGCGGCUGCUGCUAGUGAUUUUUUAUUUGGGGUUUAGUUCUUCUCUUCCUCUUCUGAAGAAGAAGGUCAGGUUUUUUU